CUUACUAAUAUUUAUUAUAAAUUUUGGAUGAUGUUUUUUAGAUCGAAAAACAUGUAAGAUGUAUUAUAAUGCUUUAUAAAUUUAUUAGGUGUGAUGUUCUUAUUAAAUGUUAUAUUAGUGUAUCAUGUGUACUGUUGUAAAAGAGUAUUUAUAAAUUUACGAAUACAGCUGCAACGUUUGUUUGUCCUUUUAACGUCUGUUUCCUUAUCCUCUUAUAACGUCUGUUGACUAACCCUAUUAACAUGGGUUGACUAACAUCUGAUACUUAACAUCUAUCAACGAGGAAACCUCUGUUGGGGAUAAUGGAUGACAAUUGUUAGGAAACCUCUGUUGAAAAGCAACAGAAAGGUUUUUAACAGUCGAUAGACAACAGUGGUUAGGUUGUCAACAUAAUGGAACUCCUGUUGACUAAGCCUGUUGACCAUUAAUUUAUAUCAAUUUUGUAACUUUGCACUAAUUAUUUUUUACUUUCUAUUAAAAUGUGUUAUGCAUGGUUUUCUAAAAACCACUGGUGUUUACACACAGGUUUUAC
rnacentral:lncRNA from 1 species